GUGCUCACUUCGGCGGCGCAUAUGGUAACAUCGGUCCGAUACAGGGAAGAUCAGUGUGGCCCAUGCAUAACGAUGACAUGCAAAUUCAGGAAGCGGUCUAUGCUUUU